UUGAUUUUUUUAAAAGGUUACAACUAUAGGACAAAUACAAAUAAAUGCCCGAACGAUUACAAUGUAAAAUAAACUAUUACAACUCAAACGGAUUAAAAAUUGAAACAAUUAAGACAAAUGGUAACUAAGCAAAUUAAAAAAUUGCAUAUGGUGGGUUUUGUAAUACCCGAUUUUGGCCCGGGUCUAAAAUGCCCAAAUUACAAGCAGGCCUGUGUGGCCCAAAAUGAAAUAAAACAAAGGCCCAAAUACAGUGGCCCAAAACAGAUUCAUGAAACCCUAGGGUUUCAAGGGUGAACUCGCGCCGCAAGCCAAGCCUCGCCCUCCGAAUCUCUCGUGAUCGUGCCUACACAACAAAGGAAAGAAACAAAGCAAGAUAUGGCAAAAAAAUCUCGAAAUCAAAUCAAGCAGAUGCUGGAAGAUUUCUGUUUAUUUUUUUUCUUUAUUUUUCUUCUUGUUACACGAUUGCUGUAAAAGCAAUCUUAAAACACUGUAAAAGUGAAGGGAUUUUUGAAAAAAUAAAUAAAUAAAGAGACCUAUUAUUCACAGCAAAAUCCCGAGAGUCUAAUACGAAUAGCAAAUCGAUCUAAAGGUUGAUACUUGUAACUUUGAUUUAUUUUCUACUGUUAUAUUUAUUAUUUUUUUAAGCGAAUAAAACGAAGUAAGGGGAAAGAAGAGGAAAUUACCUGGGUCUUCAGAUCCGCAUGAAAAAGAGCCGAAAAGCCCCUUAGGGUGAGGUUCUAACCACCGUUCACGGUGGGAGCAUGGCGGAGAUUAGGCAGCUGAAACAGGGUAUAAAACCCUAGCAGAGAAAGUAGAGAGUUUUAGUUUUUUU
rnacentral:lncRNA from 1 species